UUGCCUAUAAAUACAGAAUGAGUGAGAGCAUCAUUCUCAUCAAAAACCAAAAUCUUAUCCUAUAAUUUUGAGUAGCAAAAAUGAGUUCCAAACUGCUUCUUCUCCUCGGCCUUGUCUUGGCUGUGGCUCUUCUGAUCUCUUCAGAUGUAGCUUCAGCUAGAGAGCUUGCUUCCGUUGAUCCUUAGGAGGAAACCGAUGGGCGCGGCGGAUACAACCGGGGCGGAUACGGUGGCGGUGGAGGCGGAUACGGAGGUGGAGGUGGAUACGGAGGCCGUGGAGGCGGAUACGGCGGACGUGGAGGCAAAGGACGGAAGCGCUGCCGCAACCCACACGGGUGCCGAUGCUGCAGCUAUGGCGCCGAGCCUCACAACUAAGCACUUGCUACUACUUUGUAUCUAAAACAUUGGUAUAUCUGUAUCUCUAUGUCUACCUCUAUUACCGUACUCUUUCUUAAUUACUUUUCAUAAAAAAAAAAGUACGAUGGUAUGAAUAAAUCGGAAUUUAUUCUGACCUA